AUGGCAGUGGCUGGCUGCGGUAGCAGGGAGGAGAGGUGGAGCCUGGCAGGCGCCACGGCGCUCGUCACCGGCGGCAGCAAAGGGAUAGGACAUGCCAUCGUGGAGGAGCUUGCUGGGUUUGGGGCGAGGGUGCACACCUGCUCCCGGAACGCGGCGGAGCUGGAGGAGUGCCGCCGGCGGUGGGAGGAGAAGAACCUGCGGGUCACCGUCUCUGUCUGUGAUGUCUCGGUGCGCGCCCAGAGGGAGAAGCUUAUGGAGACGGUCCGACAAACUUUCGACGGCAAGCUCGACAUACUAGUGAACAAUGCAGGGCAAUUAUUGUUCAAGCCCGCUGCUGAAUGUACGGCGGAGGACUUCUCGAAUCUGAUGACCACCAAUUUGGAGGCAAGCUUCCAUCUAAGUCAACUUGCACGCCCUCUUCUCAUACACGCUUCUAUUGCUGGAGGAGGCAGCAUCAUCAACGUGUCCUCCAUUGGAGGCUCAAUUGCCUUCGCAGGCUCCACCGUUUAUGCUAUCACAAAAGGCGCGUUGAGCCAGCUUACAAGGAAUUUGGCCACCGAGUGGGCCCCUAACAAGAUUCGUGUGAAUGGCGUCGCCCCAGGAUUUGUCACAACGGAUAUGAUUAAAGAUGUAGAUCCAGAGUACAUGAAGCAAGAGAACUCAAAGACCCCGUUGGGACGGAGUGGCAAGCCGGUGGAGAUCGCCUCGGCAGUGUCAUUUUUGUGUAUGCCGGCAGCUUCUUACAUCACCGGUCAAGUCAUUUGCAUUGAUGGUGGUCGAACCAUUAGUUCUUAG
rnacentral:rRNA from 1 species